AGAGUUUGAUCAUGGCUCAGAUUGAACGCUGGCGGCAGGCCUAACACAUGCAAGUCGAACGGUAACAGGAAGCAGCUUGCUGCUUCGCUGACGAGUGGCGGACGGGUGAGUAAUGUCUGGGAAGCUGCCUGAUGGAGGGGGAUAACUACUGGAAACGGUAGCUAAUACCGCAUAAUGUCGCAAGACCAAAGAGGGGGACCUUCGGGCCUCUUGCCAUCGGAUGUGCCCAGAUGGGAUUAGCUUGUUGGUGGGGUAACGGCUCACCAAGGCGACGAUCCCUAGCUGGUCUGAGAGGAUGACCAGCCACACUGGAACUGAGACACGGUCCAGACUCCUACGGGAGGCAGCAGUGGGGAAUAUUGCACAAUGGGCGCAAGCCUGAUGCAGCCAUGCCGCGUGUAUGAAGAAGGCCUUCGGGUUGUAAAGUACUUUCAGCGGGGAGGAAGGGAGUAAAGUUAAUACCUUUGCUCAUUGACGUUACCCGCAGAAGAAGCACCGGCUAACUCCGUGCCAGCAGCCGCGGUAAUACGGAGGGUGCAAGCGAUAAUCGGAAUUACUGGGCGUAAAGCGCACGCAGGCGGUUUGUUAAGUCAGAUGUGAAAUCCCCGGGCUCAACCUGGGAACUGCAUCUGAUACUGGCAAGCUUGAGUCUCGUAGAGGGGGGUAGAAUUCCAGGUGUAGCGGUGAAAUGCGUAGAGAUCUGGAGGAAUACCGGUGGCGAAGGCGGCCCCCUGGACGAAGACUGACGCUCAGGUGCGAAAGCGUGGGGAGCAAACAGGAUUAGAUACCCUGGUAGUCCACGCCGUAAACGAUGUCGACUUGGAGGUUGUGCCCUUGAGGCGUGGCUUCCGGAGCUAACGCGUUAAGUCGACCGCCUGGGGAGUACGGACGCAAGGUUAAAACUCAAAUGAAUUGACGGGGGCCCGCACAAGCGGUGGAGCAUGUGGUUUAAUUCGAUGCAACGCGAAGAACCUUACCUGGUCUUGACAUCCACGGAAGUUUUCAGAGAUGAGAAUGUGCCUUCGGGAACCGUGAGACAGGUGCUGCAUGGCUGUCGUCAGCUCGUGUUGUGAAAUGUUGGGUUAAGUCCCGCAACGAGCGCAACCCUUAUCCUUUGUUGCCAGCGGUCCGGCCGGGAACUCAAAGGAGACUGCCAGUGAUAAACUGGAGGAAGGUGGGGAUGACGUCAAGUCAUCAUGGCCCUUACGACCAGGGCUACACACGUGCUACAAUGGCGCAUACAAAGAGAAGCGACCUCGCGAGAGCAAGCGGACCUCAUAAAGUGCGUCGUAGUCCGGAUUGGAGUCUGCAACUCGACUCCAUGAAGUCGGAAUCGCUAGUAAUCGUGGAUCAGAAUGCCACGGUGAAUACGUUCCCGGGCCUUGUACACACCGCCCGUCACACCAUGGGAGUGGGUUGCAAAAGAAGUAGGUAGCUUAACCUUCGGGAGGGCGCUUACCACUUUGUGAUUCAUGACUGGGGUGAAGUCGUAACAAGGUAACCGUAGGGGAACCUGCGGUUG
rnacentral:rRNA from 1 species